AUUGAACGCUGGCGGCAGGCCUAACACAUGCAAGUCGAACGGUAACAGGAGGAAGCUUGCUUCUUUGCUGACGAGUGGCGGACGGGUGAGUAAUGUCUGGGAAACUGCCUGAUGGAGGGGGAUAACUACUGGAAACGGUAGCUAAUACCGCAUAACGUUGCAAGACCAAAGAGGGGGACCUUCGGGCCUCUUGCCAUCGGAUGUGACCAGAUGGGAUUAGCUAGUAGGUGGGGUAACGGCUCACCUAGGCCACGAUCCCUAGCUGGUCUGAGAGGAUGACCAGCCACACUGGAACUGAGACACGGUCCAGACUCCUACGGGAGGCAGCAGUGGGGAAUAUUGCACAAUGGGCGCAAGCCUGAUGCAGCCAUGCCGCGUGUAUGAAGAAGGCCUUCGGGUUGUAAAGUACUUUCAGCGGGGAGGAAGGGAGUAAAGUUAAUACCUUUGCUCAUUGACGUUACCCGCAGAAGAAGCACCGGCUAACUCCGUG
rnacentral:rRNA from 1 species